AUAUAUACUACUCCCCCUUUGAAAAACCCUCUUUCGUUAUACACUCCCCACCAGCCAUAACCCUCAGCUCUGACUCCCUAUGCUCUCCAGCCGUCAAAGCACUUGCCUCUGAACACUCUCACCUCACGCAGCCCUCGCCUAUAGCAGCUCUCGCCGUCGAAGGUCUGCUCAUCUCCUCGCGUCGCUAGAAGGCCGUUUCGGAGUUGCUACUCGCGAUGCCGUCUCUGCCCUCUUCGUGAAGCCCGGACCUGUCCUCGUCGUCAUCGUCGGUUCAGAUCUGCUGCUGGCUCGCCUUCUCGUCUCCAAUAGUGAGGGAAUUGAGAUUUAUUCAAAAGGGCAGUGAAACAUAUGUUGAUAAAUAGAAGGCAGUUUCUAUACCAGUGCUACACUUCAGGUGCCAGGCGGUCCAGCUAAUAAACAUUUGGAGCUAGACGAUGUGCUUGUUCGUAUCAAUGGAAAAGUAAGUGUGUCAUGAUACACAAUUUUAGUACAUCACAAAAUCAUGUAAUUCUUUCCAGUACAUCACAUCAGAUCAUUUCAUAUUAUGUCACGUAAUCAUAUAAUUCUUUCAACAAUUUUUUUUUUAGGUUUAGUAGUAGUUUCAUAAAUUAUGUGAUGAGUUUAGUCAUAACCUAUGAUCUUAUUGGUCAUAUCAAAUAAAUCUUUUAUACUUUAUGGUCAAUUGAACCAUGUUUCAUUCUUACAUUAUUUUCGAAUGUGUAUUUUACUAUUGACAUUUUGUUUUUAAGAUAUCAUUAUCUUGAUUUUUUAUU